rnacentral:rRNA from 1 species
CGGCACGCCUAACACAUGCAAGUCGAACGCAGUAGCAAUACUGAGUGGCAAACGGGUGAGUAUAAUGUGGGAAUCUGCCUUUUGGUUUGGAAUAACACGGGGAAACUUGUGCUAAUACCGAAUAAGCCCUUACGGGGAAAGUUUUAACGCCGAAAGAUGAGCCCGCACUUGAUUAGCUAGUUGGUAAGGUAAAAGCUUACCAAGGCAACGAUCAAUAGCUGUUCUUAGAGGAAGACCAGCCACAUUGGGACUGAGACACGGCCCAGACUCCUACGGGAGGCAGCAGUGGGGAAUCUUGCACAAUGGGGGAAACCCUGAUGCAGCGAUGCCGCGUGAGUGAAGAAGGCCCUUGGGUUGUAAAACUCUUUCGUCGGGGAAGAAAAUGACUGUACCCGAAUAAGAAGGUCCGGC